rnacentral:misc_RNA from 1 species
GAAAUGGAAGCAGCAGCCUUGUCGUCGUGUCCUUCAACCCCUCGCUGGAACGUCGAGAGGCCCUUCCUCACUGGCCGUUUCCACCAGGAAACAAAAGGAGCCUCGAGGCUUGCUGGUACAAAGGGACUCUCCUUAGAUUCCUUUAGCAGCCCCGGAAUUGACAAGGCCAUUGGUUGUUAUGAUGCUGCAGUCCAGGAACUUAUUGUCAUCGACAAUCUUAUGUCUGCAUUAGUUGGAAUUGAAGGACAAUAUAUUUUGAUCAAAAGAGUCCAUGGAAAGGAGGAUGAAAUUACUUUCCAGAUUGACGCUUCAAUGGAUUUGGCACUGCAGGAAAGAGCAAAAUGGAUAUUUCCUUUAUGUGAGAGCUAUCUUUUGAUUGACCAGUUUGUUGAGUCAAGGUCACAAUUCAAGAGUGGCGUAGUUAAUCAUGCCUUUGCUGCUGCACUCAGGGCACUUCUUCUGGAUUACCAGGCCAUGGUAGCACAACUUGAACACCAAUUUCGACUUGGAAAACUUUCCAUACAAGGAUUGUGGUUUUACUGUCAGCCCUUGAUGGGCUCCAUGCAAGCAUUAUCUACUGUUGUAAAGAAGGCUUCAGCAAAUAAUUUUACAGGAUCUGCAGUCCUUAACCUUCUGCAGAGCCAGGCUAAGGCCAUGGCUGGUGAUAGUGCAGUGAGAUCAUUGCUAGAGAAGAUGACACAUUGUGCAAGCAAUGCUUAUCUGGGCAUAUUGGAGAGGUGGGUCUACGAAGGAGUCAUCGAUGAUCCUUAUGGUGAAUUUUUUAUUGCAGAGAACAAGUCUCUUCAUAAGGAGAGCCUCACACAGGAUUAUGAUGCUAAGUACUGGAGGCAACGUUACAGCCUUAAAGAAGGAAUUCCUAGCUUCCUUGCAAAUAUUGCUGGAACAAUAUUGACCACAGGAAAAUACUUAAAUGUUAUGAGAGAAUGUGGGCACAAUGUUCAGGUUCCUUCCUCAAAAAAUUCCAAAUUGAUGAACUUUGGCUCGAACCAUCAGUAUCUUGAAUGCAUAAAAGCAGCUUAUGAUUUUGCCAGCAGUGAGCUCUUAAACCUCAUUAAAGAAAAGUAUGAUCUAAUGGGAAAGCUGCGGUCUUUAAAGCACUAUCUUCUUCUUGAUCAGGGUGAUUUUUUGGUUCAUUUCACGGACAUAGCUCGAGAUGAGCUUACAAAAAA